rnacentral:rRNA from 1 species
AGCGAACGCUGGCGGCAGGCCUAACACAUGCAAGUCGAGCGCCGUAGCAAUACGGAGCGGCAGACGGGAGAGUAACACGUGGGAACGUGACCUUCAGUUCGGAACAACCCAGGGAAACUUGGGCUAAUACCGGAUACGCCCUUACGGGGAAAGAUUUAUCGCUGAAGGAUCGGCCCGCGUCUGAUUAGCUUGUUGGUGAGGUAACGGCUCACCAAGGCUACGAUCAGUAGCUGGUCUGAGAGGAUGAUCAGCCUCACUGGGACUGAGACACGGCCCAGACUCCUACGGGAGGCAGCAGUGGGGAAUAUUGGACAAUGGGCGCAAGCCUGAUCCAGCCAUGCCGCGUGAGUGAUGAAGGCCUUAGGGUUGUAAAGCUCUUUCGGCGGGGAAGAUAAUGACGGUACCCGCAGAAGAAGCCCCGGCUAACUUCGUGCCAGCCGCCGCAGUAAGAC